rnacentral:lncRNA from 1 species
UCGGUACUCAAGGUUAAUUCAAGACAAGCAUCCAUAGAAGAAGCUGUGAAGAAAGAGGGCAAGCGGUGUGUGAAAUGUGAUCACAAGGAGAAAUCAACUUGUACACAUGUACCUUAUGUACAACAUAUUUUAGGAAUGUAGUAGUUGAGUACUGUAAAAGUGGGACCAUUUUCCCAUUGUAAUACUUUUUCUAAAGUGAGUUCUUUACUCAUCGGUAUCAAAUUUAUAUGAGACCAACACCACCCCUGCACUCAAUAAUACUUGAAAAAUAUGUUCUUGAAAAGCUAUACUUCAUGGUAAAAAAAACCAUAAAACCUCACUGUUUUACAACCGCUGACGGUUUUUUUAAAGAACUUGUUCUCAUAACUCAGUUGAAUAAAUGGACUAUCAUGUUGUGAAUCAAAUACUAGAAAGUCUGUAGGGGUGAUUCGCAUUGCUACUCCUUCAGUCCGGCCCUCCUUCAAACCGACCCUCCCCC